rnacentral:rRNA from 1 species
CCUACGGGAGGCUGCAGUGGGGAAUAUUGGACAAUGGGCGAAAGCCUGAUCCAGCCAUGCCGCGUGUGUGAAGAAGGCCUUCGGGUUGUAAAGCACUUUCAGUGGGGAAGAAAGCCUUGGGGCUAAUACCCUCGAGGAAGGACAUCACCCACAGAAGAAGCACCGGCUAACUCCGUGCCAGUAGCCGCGGUAAUACGGAGGGUGCGAGCGUUAAUCGGAAUUACUGGGCGUAAAGCGCGCGUAGGCGGUCUGAUAAGCCGGUUGUGAAAGCCCCGGGCUCAACCUGGGAACGGCAUCCGGAACUGUCAGGCUAGAGUGCAGGAGAGGAAGGUAGAAUUCCCGGUGUAGCAGUGAAAUGCGUAGAGAUCGGGAGGAAUACCAGUGGCGAAGGCGGCCUUCUGGACUGACACUGACGCUGAGGUGCGAAAGCGUGGGUAGCAAACAGGAUUAGAUACCCGUGUAGUC